rnacentral:tRNA from 1 species
GUCUCCGUAGCUUACUAAAAGCAUAGCACUGAAGAUGCUAAGACGGCCUGCACCUAAUGCCCGAAGACA